CUCUAGCCCUGAUGGAAGCGACAUCCUUUUGUGGUGGUGUUCACCACAAAAGAUACAGCGGACAGCAGGAAACAGC
rnacentral:sRNA from 1 species